UUGGGAAUAUUGGACAAUGGGCGCAAGCCUGAUCCAGCCAUGCCGCGUGAGUGAUGAAGGCCUUAGGGUUGUAAAGCUCUUUUACCAGGGAUGAUAAUGGCAGUACCUGGAGAAUAAGCUCCGGCUAACACCGUGCCAGCACCCGCGGUAAGACGGAGGGAGCUAGCGUUGUUCGGAAUUACUGGGCGUAAAGCGCGCGUAGGCGGCUAUUCAAGUCAGAGGUGAAAGCCCGGGGCUCAACUCCGGAACUGCCUUUGAAACUAGAUAGCUAGAAUCCAGGAGAGGUGAGUGGAAUUCCGAGUGUAGAGGUGAAAUUCGUAGAUAUUCGGAAGAACACCAGUGGCGAAGGCGACUCACUGGACUGGUAUUGACGCUGAGGUGCGAAAGCGUGGGGAGCAAACAGGAUUAGAUACCCCCGUAGUCC
rnacentral:rRNA from 1 species